CCCUGGGCUCGCGGAGCUUCCACUGCGGCUGCGCGGCUGGCUGAAGAGGGCGGGGGGUGACGUGCGGCUUCUGCUGCUGCUCGCGCCAGGCGCGCGCUCGCUAGUCCACUUCUUGCGGCUCCUCCCUCCAGUCAAGUUCCGUCCCAGCUAGCGUGGAGCCUGCGCUCUUUG
rfam:Ailuropoda melanoleuca scaffold3116_28, whole genome shotgun sequence.